rnacentral:tRNA from 1 species
GGGGAAAUAGCUCAGUUGGUAGAGUGCUUGCCUCUCAUAUAUAAGGCCCUGGGUUCAAUCCCCAGUGCCACCC